AGCAGUUUUGCAGAGCUUCUUGCUGAGGUGCUUUGAAGGAAACAGCUUUUGGGAGUGUUGGCCAGAAGAAGGACGAGCUGUGUGAUAUGGGGGAAGGUGUUUGCAAGCAAGGGGGAAAACACCAUUUGUACGUUCAAGGGGGACGUGCUGCUAUUAUUUACACGACAACAUGGAUUUAGCUAAGCUUUGUGGAAUUUUGCAGCCUCUGACACAUGUAUCGGGCACGGGCAGAGCAGCGAUGGAAAUAAUGUGAAGGCAAACUGGUCGUUUCAAGUCCAAAAGACUAAUGGAAGUAGUAAAAAUGGGAAAGAUAUGAAAGCAAGAACCACUGAAAUAAAUAUCUGAGCUGGGAACCUGCAGGAAGGGUUCAGUGCAGCUGCAGAUGCACCCAGCUGAGUGUCAGCCUGGGUUAAUUCACAAGGUGACGGAUGGUUUGGGAACGGGCAUGUGCUGAAGAAAAAUCUGGUGUCCCUGGGCCAGGUCUGCCCACAGAGCCGAGCCACUCUCAGGAGUCCUUGGAGCAUCCCUGAUUUACUGCAGCUGUGGCCUUGGAGUUUGUGGUUAAGGAUGGUUAUGCAAGCCUGGACCUUCUUUCAUCUUUGGCAGUGCACAAAGCCUGGACCCCCAGCACUAAUGCAGUUUUGACUGACUGACCCUGCAGUGCUUGAUGUGCUGCAGCUGGUCUGAUCUCCCCUCUGGCUCUUCCUCUGAGCCCUGUCCUGCCUCAGCUGGCUGCAACCACCUCUUACUGGGCUUCCCAGCCCUCCUGCUUGCCACCCUGCCGCGGUGCCUCUGCUUCCCCCCAGCUCCUCCUCCUCCAGGCACCCGAAUACCCGCCUUGCUUCCCUGGGUGCUGGUCCCACAGCCUCCUUGCUGGGGCUGGAGGAGCCCCGAAGAUGCUCCUGAUUUGUGGCAGCCCCUGUGCGAGGACAGGGCAGCGAUGUGGUCCCCACAGCCCUCAGCUUGUCCUGGAUCUGCAGGAGAGUGUCUUUUCAGAGACAGCUCCAGCCCCUGAACUGGAGUGUGCGCCUCUGGAAAUAAAGCUCCCCUGCACAGGAAAAUCGAUGCAGGCUGCUGGGUAUUGGUGUGAUGAGCAGGUCCCAUGGGACCGACAGGAGAAUGUUUUUAGUGUGUUGAGGAUGUUUCUGGGAGCUCUGAGAAAAUCCUCUUUGGCUUCAUGGACUCAUCAAAAAAUCCCCCUGGGAGUCUCUGGUCACCAUGACUGUCUGUUCAAGAGAUUUCUGCAUCUGGUUGAUUAGCAUGUUGGAUUGCUCCAGUAAUCAAGGAAAUUAAGUCUUUAGUGUUACGGACAGAUUUUCUGACAGUCCUGGAGAGGGCUGGGAGGAAGCUUGGGUGAAAAAUCCCAGCACUGGAAGGGUAAAUCAAGCACUUGGCAUUGUCGUCAGCUGUUUAAUGGAAGACAGCUCAAUCUCUGGCUCAAUCAAUCCCUAUAGAUUGAACCCAUAGCUAUUAUCAACUUUUCCUACGUCCUUUCUGCUUGUAAUUUUAACUCCAGCUCUCAAUUAUUUUAAAUGAAAGGCACAGUAGUGCUGUAGAGGAAGGAAACAAAGCUUCCCCAACAUGUUUUUUGAGCACACUUUUCUCUGCACGGAGCUUAACUUCUGCCAGUUGUCUGCACAGGUUGGUACCUUGAGUUUAUACCUCUCUUGGUGCCUCGUUGCUGUUGUUGAGCAGCCCCAGUGCAAUGCAGCCGGCAGUACCUGUCUGUGCUCCUCAGUAGUUACACACCCGUGUUGUAAACACUUUAAAGAAAAUGCUCUUGGGAGAGCACAGCCCAUUGCACACAGUUGUGAGAGUCUCUAGCAGGAUUGCAUACAUUAAAUGGUUAGCAUCUCAGAUGUUUUUCAGCGUAAUUUUCCCUCUGUUGCUCUCUCUGGUACUCCCACUGCUCUUGCUGCUCCUGGACUGAAGGAAAGGACUGGAGUGAAAGCAGGACUUGUGUGUUUUCAUGGCCUCUUGCUGAUCUGUCUGGAGAUGUCUAGCAAGCAAGGCAAGAAAAUGCUGGAAAAGUGACCGUCAGUGCUCUUGAACUUGCCAGCAGCUUUGGUGCCAUGCUCUAAGAGGACCCCAACAGCCUAUGUCAGUGAGCGCCCAGCGCUGCCGCGGCUGCUGGGAGGAGCUGGGCUGAAGAACGGCAGAAACAGCCUGGCCAACCUGAGCUCCACACUUGGCUGCAGGCACUCAGCGAGUAUUUUUAGCUUUCACACGCUCCCCAGCACCGAGGUGUUAAUUUUGCAGCACCCCGGGCUGCGGCCUACAACUGUCUGUCUCGCGCAGCCCUGCUGUCUGCGUAGCGUCAGGCCCGGGCACAAAGCCAAAGGCUGGAGGCAUUGGAUAUGGCAGCGACAGGAGCAUCCCAUGCCAAAGCCACCUCCUAGGCCUGGGUUAAUAGAAAACAGCUCAAAUGCUUGCUCAGUUUGAGAAAAGAAAUGUCAACAUGUCCUGGCUACCGAAGGCCUUAGCGUGUAAUUGUGUAGAGACUAAAACAGCAGAAAGUGAUAAACUCUGAGAGUGUCUCAGCAUUUAUGGGAACGAAUACCCCAUACAUUAUCAUGUGAUGUUAUCGUAUAAAUUAUCACCUUCUCUAUACCUCCCGCUUGUCCUAUAGCCCUUCCUAACGCUGCUCCUGGCUGUGCAAGGAGCAAUGAGGAACCCGGUACUUCACAUUGCGCCUCACGCAACAGAAGUGCAACAUUAUUCUGACAGCUGUUCUGCUUGGGGCCCUGGUGCCUGGAGCACAUCCAAAGCUGUCUGCCCCGCACCUGCAAGACGAGCAGAGCUAAUCUGACACUGCAUCUGCCUGCUCUGACCAGUGCUCCUCGGAAACACAGCAAUGGCUCAGACCGACAUCUGUAGAAACUGGAUUUCACAAGGCUUGCUGCCACGUACACGUCAGUCCGUGCUCAAAGGAAAGAGAGAAACACGAGUGUGAAAGGAUCCUACCUUUGAUGCACAGUUGCCAUAGUGAAAACAAACUCCUUCAGCGCAAAGGGUGCGACAAGGUAAAAGUUUGCUCUUAAAGCAAGUGGGUUGAUUAUGUGGAAAUAAUGGAGGGAAGAGCCGCAGGGAAGGAAAACAAUCCUUUAGAAAUUUCAUCAUGGAACAUGUGGGACAAAGGAGCCAUUGAAAGAGGCUUUAACACAUCGCAGUGAUGGUGCUUUCAACAGGUCUUGCCGAAGUCUGAAACCAUAAGCUUUCAAGCAUAACGUGCUAAUGAUGGAGAUGGGGCAUCAUCCGCAGAAAUGCUGAAAAACAGAAUUUCUCUCCGAAUCCUCCCUGUCUUAGACUGUCAAGAACAUAUAUAUGUGUAUACAGUACGUGUUCAACACCAGAAGUAUCAGCAGAAAGACUUUACCAAGGAAUAAAGAACUUUGUAGACAGAAACUUGAAGGUAUAACACGCAAGCAAAUUCUCUUUGCUGCCUGUUGCAAUCUUCUAAUGAGCAAAAAAAGGAACAGAAAGCUAACAGCUUUUUGCCAGCAGGUCAUCUUCAAAUGUGUAAUUGGUACCAAAUUGUGAUGCUACCAAAGCUAACAAAAAUUGUAACUGAUGAUCAGAAAACAGCAUUUUCUGAACACACAGAGAGAAGUUUUUCUCCCUGGUUUUAUAGACCCUGUUAAGUUAAUUUAGCUGACCCUGCGGGGAAGAGAUAAGUGCUACAGCAGCUUAAAACUAUCCUGCUCCCUAAGUGCCUGCAGCUGCUCCCCACGGUCCCCUCCUAUCACUGCCUCAGAGCUGUUUUGAUGCCAGGCAUAUAUAUAUAUAUUUUUUUUCUCUCCUGUAUUAAGGUGUUUUUUAAUCUCUCUAUUUGCCACAAUAUGCAGGUGGAGUCCCUGACCUGUGGGAACUAGUCCGCAAGGAUCAUGUGCCCUGUCUGUGAUCACAAGGUCGCUUUAUGCAGCACAGGGCAGACCCUGGGGCUUCUACUCAGAUUUUCUUGACUGUCAUUUUAAGCUAAAGAUCUCCUUUAGACAAACUGUCUGUAAUUAUGGCUGUAUUAGUGUUUAUGCCAUUCUCCCAGCAACCAUCUCAUUUCCAGGUCCCAACAUUUCACCUUCUUUUGCCUUGGACAAGCUCAGAGCAGGCCUAGGUGGGAUGCUGUGACUUGACCCAACUCCGACUGAAGUCAAUGCAACUUCUCUCUCUUUCUUCCCAUUCAUUUAACAUCCAUCAGGGUAGGGUUUUACAGAUGGGGACAAUGUUUGCAGUAGUGUUAUAGCAUGGCAAAUAAACACCAAUGGCCACUAUAUCUGUAGAAAAGAGAUUUGUCCCACUGAGCUCACCAUGCGGGGCAAAGGUAGUCAGAGCACAUUGAAAAGACACCAAAAGUAAGGACCCAAAGGUAAGAACAAUAAGCAAGAAAGUCUGCUCCACAUAUACAUGAGAAUUUUUUGACCCAAACCAACACGUUGUUUAGAUAAUGGAAAUUAUUUAACAAAACAGUAUCUGGGGAUUUUUAGCUGGUGCAGAUGAAAGGCGCUCAUCCUUCCCUCCCUGCUGUUUGUCAGUCUCCAGCUUCUCACCUCAUGGUGGCACGACUCAAAAGUGGGCUUUUAUCUGAGGGAAUGAAAUUUAGCAAAAAAAAAUAUAUUUUUUAUAAAAGCAAUCUGCUCCCUGAGAGUGGGGUGGGAAACAUUACAGCUGCAGUAUUUAAUAUAAUUUAAAAGCUGAUUACCCUGCAUGUGGAAUAACUGCUUUUCAUAAGGCUUUCUACUAUGUAUGGUACGCACCCUAAUUCGUAUUAACGGCUCCUAAGGAGCCAUCAUAGUUUAUCAAGAAAGUAAUAUGCAUUUUAAACGCACUCAAAUAGAGAUUUACAUGAUAAACUUAAUGACUCCAGAAUGUGUUAUUAGCUAUCGUACACUCCCAGAAGCAGUCACUCACUUCUGGCAAAUUAGAUAAUUCAAGAAGCCCAUAGAAAACUUCAGCCCAGAAUGGAGCUGUUGCUCAGCCACUCGAUGGGAUUUAUUUCACGCAUAAAGGGGUAUUUUCCACCUCCACCUUGUUAUGGAAAGCAGCAAUUUUGUGGACAGGAACAUUGCUAUGAAUCCCUUCUAAAGAAAACACACCAUUAAAUGUUAAAGCUCAUUAUUUAUUUUAAAAUGGUCUUAUAUUUCUUGCAAUAUUUCCUUGCAAUUGUCCUGUCAGCCCGAUGCUAAGUAAGAUAUCAGUAUAAACCAGUUGCACAAUAUCUGUGAAAUAUUGCUGGAAGAUAAUAACGUUGCUGAGAUGAUGUUUUUUAAAUCAUGCCAAGAGCCAGAUGCUAAAUUAAGUGAUAGUUUCCGUAAGGCCAAUGGAAAAAUUAAUACCGUGAAGAACUGGGGCUAGCAACUGCAUUUCCCCCAGCAAGAUGAGAUCAAAGUAACUGUGAAUACGAAAAUUCAAUGACUCCUAAUUGUGCUGAAGAUUAGGACCCCCAUGACACGAAGACUUGCAUGGAACAAGAGAAAAUACAUCCUAGGGAAAAACUGCAUGCUCCAAGUAAAAGGAUUAACUGACCUUUCUACGUCCUAGUCCUGAUAGUUUGACUUUAAAUAUACUUCUUACUGAGACUGGCCAUGUCCUUAACAGUGAGUGGUGAUUUACAUUUUUUACCACUGAAUUCCGAACUGACAUUUUCAUGCUGUCAGUUCUCCACUUUUCAGCUAUCCCAUAUUUGCAAUUAUUCUUAUGGGAAAAUAAUGGUGGAGCACAGCCCGU